AACUUGCUUGAUUUAUGAAGUCUGCAUUAUAUUCUCUGUCAAAGUUAAAAUCAGCAGAGGACUUUUAUAAGCACCUGAAAUCCCUUAGUUUUCUUUGACUUUCUUUUUGUGACUCAUAUACUUCAAUGUGCCUAUAAUGAGUUGCACACGUUAGUCGACCUAGUCACGUGAUUAUCACUAGCGACGCCCUUCUUAGCGUAGCGAGAGUGGUGGAUGUGGCACAUUGAGUAGUCGGAGAGUGGCUGGAAAAGUUUGAUGUAAAUACCAGUAACCUCCAAAUCCACUGCUCGCUUAGUUGUAGUUCCACAGGUGUCAUACCCGAGCGGCUGUAAGCCGUGCAGUUUUUCACAGUCACCGUCUGCGCAGAAGUCACGGACACAUCUCUCAGAAACAGUUAGGAAACGGCUGCGAGCUACGUUUUCACGGAGAUGGUUUGGUGAAUGGCAUCCAAUGCAAAGUAGCUAUGGUUUUCCAGAUUUGCCAGCUAGUGGAAAUGUGAUCAAGAUGACGAAGAAUGAAAAAGUAGGUGGCUGAGGCUCAACAGAUUUAAGGAUCCUGCUGGUGUUUCUGCUUCUUUCAAAAAAAUAUUCCAAGUCUGUUGUGUGAAAGAAGUUUAUUUGUCAAGGUUUGUUAUAAGGUCAUUUAAAAUGUCCAUUUCCUAAAAAAAUGACAGGAGUAAGUGACUGUGGGAGAUAUAACACAAGUAUUUAGUUUACAAAUGGACACCAUCACUUUUUCUGGAAAAGGACACUAAAAAUUCACAUUUUUAACCUUAAAGAUUUAGACAAGACUUAAGUCACAAGGAUCACUUUAAUUUGUGUGUUAGGUUCUUCUCUUUUCAUGACAAAUAUUAUCUACAGCCACUCAAAGCAUCCAGCAGGGAUCAACACCCACCUGACACCUUUAAUAGAAAGGACAGAAACAGAAAAUCCAGUUCUUCCUCAACUUUCUAAACAUAAUGCUUGUAGUAAAAGCCCAUUUGAUUUUAACUGGGCAUACUAAUGGUUUUAAAGGACAAAGCCAGUAAUUUAAUCAUAUUCCCCACACAGAGACUAAAACCAAAAGUGAAUUGCCUCUAUUCCCUAAUAAAGGUGGGAUUGGCAGUCCUGGAAAAACCAGCAAGAGAAAGCUUUAUUUUGAAAGAAGCCAACCAUAAAAAUUCCACCCUUUUGUUCUGACUUCUCUCCAAAGCCACUCCUCCAAAACACAAUGAUCACUGCCCGACUACUUACAGAUUUCAGGAAAAAAAUAAAUGCCUCCCAAACAAAACAAAACCAAUAAUUACCUGUCCACCACAAAUAUAACAUGCCAGCCUGGCUUUGCGGGAGACUCUCAGCUCACACACUGACUGCACAGCAGAGUGUGCACAAGUAGGAAGUAGGUCGACAGAAAGACCAUCCAAUGGUUUUUCUCAGCCCAAUUAAAAUUAUUGGUCAGGCUUUUAUCAGCCAUGCUGCCACAGAUGACAGGGUUUUUUCUUUAUGCUAUCAAUGCAUUUAAUGUAUUCACUGCCAUCAGGAUGAAAUGGAAAAAUUCAAGAAAUGUAACAAAAAUGCUUCUGUAAGGGGUCGCCAACCCUGCUUUUAAUGUCCUACAGUGUGUCAGUCCUGCGCCAUAGACCUCUAAUGAUGUAGAAAAGUGAAUAAAACACAGUGAAACACAGGCUGCACUGGGUGACAUGCUUCUCUUCUUACAAAGCUUAUGACCUAAAUAUUUCUUUCACACACAAAAAAAAAAAAAAAAA